UCGGGAAUUUUGGGCAAUGGGGGAAACCCUGACCCAGCAACGCCGCGUGAAGGAUGAAGUAUUUCGGUAUGUAAACUUCGAAAGAAUAGGAAGAAUAAAUGACGGUACUAUUUAUAAGGUCCGGCUAACUACGUGCCAGCAGCCGCGGUAAUACGUAGGGACCAAGCGUUGUUCGGAUUUACUGGGCGUAAAGCGCACGUAGGCGGAUCGGCAAGUCAGGGGUGAAAUCCCGGGGCUCAACCUCGGAACUGCCUCUGAUACUGCCAGUCUAGAGUCCGGAAGAGGUGGGUGGAAUUCCUAGUGUAGAGGUGAAAUUCGCAGAUAUUAGGAAGAACACCGGUGGCGAAGGCGGCCCACUGGUCCGGUACUGACGCUGAGGUGCGAAAGCGUGGGGAGCAAACAGGAUUAGAUACCCCNGUAGUCCCUGAGCGGGCUGGCAAGGCGCAU
rnacentral:rRNA from 1 species